ACAAAACCCGCAUGAGGGAUAGAAGUGGAAAUCCUUUUGUGGCGGGGUUCGCCACAAAAGAUUGGAACGGAUAGCCCGACCCGGA
rnacentral:sRNA from 1 species